CAAACGAGAGGUUUUUGAAUAAUAUGGAUGUCAUAUAAUAAACGAGAGAUUUCGAAAACCCCACUCCUCCACAAAGAUUAAAGUCUGUAAGCAUGCUCUCGUUUCAGCCAUGACUGCCACCUUUAAGCAUUCAGAAAACAGGCCUCAGCACCGUCUCUCGGUACAGAUUUCGGCGAUCUUCCUCAACUUGUGGUUCUGCAAAGUCUGGCACACCUCCAAUAAGUAUCCAGAAGUCUUUUAACCACUGAGCGCCUCCCCUUCAAUUAUAACCUCUUGGAGCUUCAGAUCUAGCCCCAUCCAAACUGCUUGAAGGCAUGUAAGGGCUUCUGCCGCAAACUCAGUAGUUAUGUUUGCAGACAACCUGUCUUUAGAGCGUCGAGCUCACCAAUGUAUGCACCUACUUCAUCAACUACCUCUUGUGAUGUUUGUGCGAUUCCGUCAUGGAUCGAUCUAUUCCCUGAUGCCCACAAAAACCACAUAGCACACUAUUACCCUACAGAUUUGAUUAGAGGAUUUUGAAAACAAAUUUGUUAUCCAGUCUUGGAAAUUAUAAUCUGAUACUUCUUGCGGCUACUAGACAUUUAACUUCCGCCAUAUUUCUUCUGCUAUAAGGCAUUCUCAGAACAACUGCUCUAUCGUUUCUGAAUCGCUCGAAUAUCUCGGACAGAUCGGGGACCCCAUCAAGAGUCCGUUAUACAAAUUAUAGAAAUUAAGGAUAAAUUUACGAAAUAUUCGCCAAUUUGUAAUUUUAAUCUUUUCUGGCGGAUUUAGCCUCCAUAAUUUCUUGUAAAAAAGACUGUAAGAGCUUUGAUAUUCAGUAGACUUUCUAGGGA